AUUUAGAUAGUUUAAUUUUAGAAUUAUAAUUUGUGGUAUUAUAGGUGUUAUAAUAGAACUCUAAAUU
rnacentral:tRNA from 1 species